rnacentral:rRNA from 1 species
UACAGACAGGGCAGCGUUAUCGUAAAUUAAAAAGGCAUUAAGAGUGAUAAGAUGGCGCCCACAGGGGCGCUAGAGUUCAAAAGGAAAAUAAGGAGAAAAAUUCAUGUAAGGAUGAAAUCUAUAAAGAUGAAUUAGAAUAUCAAAAGUGACAACACCUUUUUAAAAUGAACUGACAUUGAUUCACUAAAGUAUGGUUAUCAAAUCAG